rnacentral:rRNA from 1 species
GAUGGGGAUAACAGAGGGAAACUUCUGCUAAGACCCAAUAUGGCGCAAGCUGAAAUAAGUUAUUGCCAAAUGCGGAGCUCGCGUCCGAUUAGUUAGUUGCUGGUGUAAGAGCCUACCAAGACAGCGAUCGGUAGCUGGUCUGAGAGGAUGAGCAGCCCCACUGGGACUGAGACACGGCCCAGACUCCUACGGGAGGCAGCAGUGGGGAAUUUUCCGCAAUGGGCGAAAGCCUGACGGAGCAAUACCGCGUGAGGGAGGAAGGCUUUUGGGUUGUAAACCUCUUUUAUUAAGGAAGAAGCAAGUGACGGUACUUAAUGAAUCAGCAUCGGCUAACUCCGUGCCAGCAGCCGCGGUAAUACGGAGGAUGCAAGCGUUAUCCGGAAUCAUUGGGCGUAAAGCGUCCGCAGGUGGUCAAUCGUGUCUGCCGUUAAAGACAGAAGCUCAACUUCUGAGAGGCGGUGGAAACUGGUUGACUAGAGUACGGUAGGGGUUGAGGGAAUUCCCAGUGUAGCGGUGAAAUGCGUAGAUAUUGGGAAGAA